UUUAUGGAGAGUUUGAUCCUGGCUCAGGAUGAACGCUGGCGGCGUGCCUAAUACAUGCAAGUCGAGCGAACGGACGAGAAGCUUGCUUCUCUGAUUGUUAGCGGCGGACGGGUGAGUAACACGUGGAUAACCUACCUAUAAGACUGGGAUAACUUCGGGAAACCGGAGCUAAUACCGGAUAAUAUUUUGAACCGCAUG
rnacentral:rRNA from 1 species